rnacentral:rRNA from 1 species
UACGUAGGGCGCAAGCGUUAUCCGGAAUUAUUGGGCGUAAAGAGCUCGUAGGCGGCUUGUCGCGUCGACUGUGAAAUCCCGCGGCUCAACUGCGGGUCUGCAGUCGAUACGGGCAGGCUAGAGUUCGGUAGGGGAGACUGGAAUUCCUGGUGUAGCGGUGAAAUGCGCAGAUAUCAGGAGGAACACCGGUGGCGAAGGCGGGUCUCUGGGCCAUAACUGACGCUGAGGAGCGAAAGCGUGGGGAGCGAACAGG